GGCCUCGACUAACACUCAUCACCCUGUGACAUACCUAAAACGUUGCUUCGGCGGGAACAGACGGCCCUGUAACAACGGGCCGCCCCCGCCAGAGGACCCCUAACUCUGUUUUUAUAAUGUUUUUCUGAGUAAACAAGCAAAUAAAUUAAAACUUUCAACAACGGAUCUCUUGGCUCUGGCAUCGAUGAAGAACGCAGCGAAAUGCGAUAAGUAAUGUGAAUUGCAGAAUUCAGUGAAUCAUCGAAUCUUUGAACGCACAUUGCGCCCGCCAGUAUUCUGGCGGGCAUGCCUGUUCGAGCGUCAUUACAACCCUCAGGCCCCCGGGCCUGGCGUUGGGGAUCGGCGGAAGCCCCCUGUGGGCACACGCCGUCCCUCAAAUACAGUGGCGGUCCCGCCGCAGCUUCCAUUGCGUAGUAGCUAACACCUCGCAACUGGAGAGCGGCGCGGCCAUGCCGUAAAACACCCAACUUCUGAAUGUUGACCUCGAAUCAGGUAGGAAUACCCGCUGAACUUAAGCAUA
rnacentral:rRNA from 1 species